GUCGGUGUGCACUAAGGAGAAGGGUGGAAAGGGAAAGGAACCAGGGGACACCAGGUCGGAAACGAGACGAGUAGGUACCUCUGUUUGGUGAUCGGGGGUUUAGAGGAUUUAGAAAGAUCAACGAGAGAGGACUCGACGACGUCGCGGCGGCCGGCCGACCUGCCGGUUGCCGAGUAGAAAGAAGUUCGACGACGUUCGUGUGUUCUUCUCCCAUUAGUCAACAGAGGUACCGGUUUUUAUUUUCUUUCGUACGUUGUGACGUAAGAAAAAAACUCUUCUUUUCUUCUUGACUACAAGGUCUUGUUUAAUAAAACCAACUACGGGGAGGGAACCAUCUACUUCUUCUUGUUCACCUACUUGUUCUUGUUUAUCUUCUUUGAGGUUAUAGUUGUUGUGGUGGAGUCCAAUACUCUCCCUCCCCGUUACUACUAAGACGAUAAAACCACCAUCUUUCUCUUGGUCCAGACGCCACGGUUUAAAGUCUAAUAGGAGGAUUGCUAGUUCUUUUUCGAGCUUACCGUAUAUAUUUCGUACCCCGUAUAGUAAAAUUUUACCUACUCAUAGGAGGGCUACUCAGCCACUGGGUAGGUGCGUUCAAAGUUAUAGUAACCAAAUUCUCGAAGGGAACCAAUCUUAUAAGUGGCCUAUUUCUACGUCAGAUGACAAAAGGUACGAAAAAUAAAACAUUCUUCGGUGAACCUUUCUUUCCUAGACUACACAAAUGUCACUUUCCUAAGUUUUUUACCUUCUCUCAAUUACUGCCUCUCUCUACACGUAAGAAUUGAGUGUACCCUUUCCUGUCAUUUAGACGAGUAUUAAUACGACGUUUUACAAUACUAUUAGACUUCUUAUUCGGUACAGUAGACCUUGGUAAUCACCACUUCGUUUGUCUACCCCUAUAGUUUUCCUUAUCCGACGCAGAAUCUCAUUGGGAACUAAGUGAUGCCACCAAUCGUAAGGUUCGAACGGGGAAGGCUCCUGUACUACUUUCAGAACUAAGCUUCUUGGUUCCAUUAAAGGAACUUUACCACUUUGACUAUCGAAGAAUACUACUCCUUUAACCACGACAUCACAACCCAUUACGAGGUCCGUUACGCUUCAUGUGUAGCGGAUGUUAAGUUUUUCUUGAAGAUCCAUAGUAACGAAGAUUCCACGUUUCACUUUAGGCAUUUCUUUAUCCUCUACGGUUCAAGACGAACGAACAACUGCUCAGUUCUCUACUUAGGUUUUCUCUCGUUUACCGUCAUCAAUAAGCAAAACAACUAUUUGGACCAAAGUGAGUACUCGCAAAAGAACUAUAACAAGUACAACGACUAUGUAGAAGCCGAUGAGAUUUUCUUCUCUAUAGUAGACAAAACCAAGUUGUAGUCAAUCUACACUUGUUAUAAGCGCCAGUUCCCAUGCUACCACGAUCAUUGUACGCACCUCUCACCUUACCUGAUGUUCGUUUCAAGUACCUCCUCACAGGAAUACGUAUAAUAUAGGUAACAAAACGAGUAGUCAACGUCGAUCGAGAACAACGACGUAGUUUUCUUCAUCGACUACAAGUGUUGAAAAAACUAGUAGAACGAGAACAAUAGUUAUGCCAACACAGAAGAUCAUUCUCUGUACUACUCAACGUUCGUUUAGUUCAACGACUUUACCUCGUAAACUAACUCGAGCCACUCGAACUUUGACCUUCACCCCGAUUAGUUCAGCCUUGAAAUGUUGCCGGAACACUAUGAUCCACCUCAAGUGUGAUACGAAGACAAACGUCGGAACACUUUAACAUGUUUGGUUGUAAAAACCAUGAAUUUUCGUAACGUUGACGAUUUCCUAGACCAUGAAGUGGAAGGCGUGCUCGUUUCCGAAGACCACGACAAUUCAACUACUACAGAAAACUGAAGUAUAAAUAAGACGUACAGUACUUUCUUGAAUACCCUUAGUGCCUGUACGAUACGUUUUUCAACGUUGUUUUCAGAGUUCUAUAACACUUACGGUACCUACUACAAUUCUGAUGGUUUUACAACUAGGUCCUCGAUUCUCUAUUACCAACCUUGUUCGAAUUUCGACUGCACGAAAGUAAGACAUGGUUUGUACCUCAAGUUUGUGGUGUAAAGUCACUCAAUAUACACCUAAAGUAAUUAAGAGCACGCCUCCUACUCUGAUGUCAACUCGUGGUAAUAGCGACACUGUAAAAGUACCAACGACAACUAGUCGUUCGUGUUCUCGACUUAACAUCUAAGUUGUUUGUUCGAUGUCUCGAAGAGUAGGACACAUGAAGGAACCUGGGUUUUCUAAGUAAGGCAAGUAAAUUAUAACUAUUAUAUACAAGAGACCGAAGUUUCAAGAUAGGACGACUAAAAUUUUUUGUUCUUUACUUAUUAGAUUCUACAGUCAAUGCUGUAAUGCUCUUACAACAUGGGUGUUCGGGUUUCAAAGUCUUAAACUGUUGAUAUAGUCUUGAAACAGUUGCUGAACGUAGAUCACCUUUUAGUCUACUUAUAAUGAACUAACUGUCUUGCACGUAAAAGACGGUACUUUGAACACUUCUGUUCCGAAGCCUUAUUUUACCUUCUACCUAAAGAUUCCCUGACGAACGAUUAAAUAUAACUUUUCCUCUAACGACAACCUUAUAGUUGUCUACGUUAAUAUCUACUCAAGCUACUUGGUGGUGCAGCUCACGGUAAAUCAACUUCCGAACCUCGUUCAAUCAAAGAGAUAGAAGAUAAUAGAUCUAAAAAGAAAACACACUACAUGGUAACUUUUUAACGUAUAGGAAAACAUAGUUGCCACUUACCACCACAUUAGUUACUUUUUAUAGUACGAUAAUGUAGACGGAGUGACAAAAAAACAAAUUUUUAAACAUGCUUUCACAACGACGGAAGUCAGCCGG
rnacentral:rRNA from 1 species